UGGGGAAUUUUGGACAAUGGGGGCAACCCUGAUCCAGCCAUGCCGCGUGUGUGAUGAAGGCCUUCGGGUUGUAAAGCACUUUCGGACGGAACGAAAUCGCGCGGGCGAACAUCCCGCGUGGAUGACGGUACCGUAAGAAGAAGCACCGGCUAACUACGUGCCAGCAGCCGCGGUAAUACGUAGGGUGCGAGCGUUAAUCGGAAUUACUGGGCGUAAAGGGUGCGCAGGCGGCCCCGCAAGUCAGGCGUGAAAUCCCCGAGCUUAACUUGGGAAUUGCGUUUGAAACUACGAGGCUGGAGUGUGGCAGAGGGAGGUGGAAUUCCACGUGUAGCGGUGAAAUGCGUAGAUAUGUGGAGGAACACCGAUGGCGAAGGCAGCCUCCUGGGCCAACACUGACGCUCAUGCACGAAAGCGUGGGGAGCAAACAG
rnacentral:rRNA from 1 species